rnacentral:rRNA from 1 species
CGUGGCCAUGCCACCCUGAACGCGCUUGAUCUCAUCUGAUCUCGGAAGCUACGCAGGGUUAGGCCUGGUUAGUACUUGGAUGGGAGACAAAAAAACUAUUGUCUUAAUGU